rnacentral:rRNA from 1 species
GAAACGACUGCUAAGACUGGAUAGCAGACAAGAAGGCAUCUUCUUGUUUUUAAAAGACCUAUUAAUAGGUAUGCUUAGGGAGGAGCUUGCGUCACAUUAGUUAGUUGGUGGGGUAAAGGCCUACCAAGACUAUGAUGUGUAGCCGGGCUGAGAGGUUGAACGGCCACAUUGGGACUGAGACACGGCCCAAACUCCUACGGGAGGCAGCAGUAGGGAAUUUUCGGCAAUGGAGGAAACUCUGACCGAGCAACGCCGCGUGAACGAUGAAGUAUUUCGGUACGUAAAGUUCUUUUAUUAGGGAAGAAUAAAUGAUGGAAAAAUCAUUCUGACGGUACCUAAUGAAUAAGCCCCGGCUAACUAUGUGCCAGCAGCCGCGGUAAUACAUAGGGGGCAAGCGUUAUCCGGAAUUAUUGGGCGUAAAGGGUGCGUAGGCUGUUAAAUAAGUUUAUGGUCUAAGUGCAAUGCUCAACAUUGUGAUGCUAUAAAAACUGUUUAGCUAGAGUAAGAUAGAGGCAAGUGGAAUUCCAUGUGUAGUGGUAAAAUGCGUAAAUAUAUGGAGGAACACCAGUAGCGAAGGCGGCUUGCUGGGUCUUUACUGACGCUGAGGCACGAAAGCGUGGGGAGCAAACAGGAUUAGAUACCCUGGUAGUCCACGCCGUAAACGAUGAGUACUAAACGUUGGGUAAAACCAGUGUUGAAGUUAACACAUUAAGUACUCCGCCUGAGUAGUACGUACGCAAGUAUGAAACUUAAAGGAAUUGACGGGACUCCGCACAAGCGGUGGAUCAUGUUGUUUAAUUCGAAGGUACCCGAAAAACCUCACCAGGUCUUGACAUGCUUCUGCAAAGCUGUAGAAACACAGUGGAGGUUAUCAGUUGCACAGGUGGUGCAUGGUUGUCGUCAGCUCGUGUCGUGAGAUGUUGGGUUAAGUCCCGCAACGAGCGCAACCCUUAUUGUUAGUUGCCAGCACGUAAUGGUGGGGACUUUAGCAAGACUGCCAGUGAUAAAUUGGAGGAAGGUGGGGACGACGUCAAAUCAUCAUGCCCCUUAUGACCUGGGCUACAAACGUGAUACAAUGGCUGUUACAAAGGGUAGCUGAAACGCAAGUUUUUGGCGAAUCUCAAAAAAACAGUCUCAGUUCGGAUUGAAGUCUGCAACUCGACUUCAUGAAGUUGGAAUCGCUAGUAAUCGCGAAUCAGCAUGUCGCGGUGAAUACGUUCUCGGGGUUUGUACACACCGCCCGUCAA